rnacentral:rRNA from 1 species
AGUGGCGAACGGGUGAGUAACACGUGAGGAACCUGCCCCGAAGACCGGGACAACACCGGGAAACCGGUGCUAAUACCGGAUACCUUCACCGGAUCGCAUGGUCUGGUGAAGAAAUGGAUUCCGCUUCGGGAUGGUCUCGCGGCCUAUCAGCUUGUUGGUGAGGUAACGGCUCACCAAGGCAACGACGGGUAGCUGGUCUGAGAGGAUGUCCAGCCACACUGGGACUGAGACACGGCCCAGACUCCUACGGGAGGCAGCAGUUAGGAAUCUUGCGCAAUGGACGAAAGUCUGACGCAGCGACGCCGCGUGCGGGAUGAAGGCCCUCGGGUUGUAAACCGCUUUCAGCAGGGACGAAAUUGACGGUACCUGCAGAAGAAGCCCCGGCCAACUACGUGCCAGCAGCCGCGGUAAUACGUAGGGGGCAAGCGUUGUCCGGAUUUAUUGGGCGUAAAGAGCUCGUAGGUGGUUUGGUAAGUCGGAUGUGAAAUCUCCAGGCUCAACCUGGAGGGGUCAUUCGAUACUGCCAUGACUAGAGGUCGGUAGGGGAGUGUGGAAUUCCUGGUGGAGCGGUGAAAUGCGCAGAUAUCAGGAGGAACACCCGUAGCGAAGGCGGCACUCUGGGCCGAUUC